rnacentral:rRNA from 1 species
UGCAAGUCGAACGAUGAAGCCGGGUGCUUGCACCGGGUGGAUUAGUGGCGAACGGGUGAGUAUCACGUGAGUAACCUGCCCUUGACUCUGGGAUAAGCCUGGGAAACUGGGUCUAAUACCGGAUAUGACCAGUCCUCGCAUGGGGUGCUGGUGGAAAGAUUUAUCGGUCUUGGAUGGACUCGCGGCCUAUCAGUUUGUUGGUGAGGUAAUGGCUCACCAAGGCGAUGACGGGUAGCCGGCCUGAGAGGGUGACCGGCCACACUGGGACUGAGACACGGCCCAGACUCCUACGGGAGGCAGCAGUGGGGAAUAUUGCACAAUGGGCGCAAGCCUGAUGCAGCGACGCCGCGUGCGGGAUGACGGCCUUCGGGUUGUAAACCGCUUUCAGCAGGGAAGAAGCUUUUUGUGACGGUACCUGCAGAAGAAGCGCCGGCUAACUACGUGCCAGCAGCCGCGGUAAUACGUAGGGCGCGAGCGUUAUCCGGAAUUAUUGGGCGUAAAGGGCUCGCAGGCGGUUUGCCACGUCUGCUGUGAAAGCCCGGGGCUUAACUCCGGGUGUGCAGUGGGUACGGGUAGACUAGAGUGCAGUAGGGGAGACUGGAAUUCCUGGUGUAGCGGUGAAAUGCGCAGAUAUCAGGAAGAACACCGAUGGCGAAGGCAGGUCUCUGGGCUGUUACUGACGCUGAGGAGCGAAAGCAUGGGGAGCGAACAGGAUUAGAUACCCUGGUAGUCCAUGCCGUAAACGUUGGGCACUAGGUGUGGGGGACAUUCCACGUUUUCCGCGCCGUAGCUAACGCAUUAAGUGCCCCGCCUGGGGAGUACGGCCGCAAGGCUAAAACUCAAAGGAAUUGACGGGGGCCCGCACAAGCGGCGGAGCAUGCGGAUUAAUUCGAUGCAACGCGAAGAAUCUUACCAAGGCUUGACAUGG